AGUUUGAUCCUGGCUUAGGAUGAACGCUAGCUACAGGCUUAACACAUGCAAGUCGAGGGGCAGCAUUGGAGUAGCAAUACUCAGAUGGCGACCGGCGCACGGGUGAGUAACACGUAUCCAACCUGCCGCUUACUCGGGGAUAGCCUUUCGAAAGAAAGAUUAAUACCCGAUGGUAUAAAGAGUUCGCAUGUUCUCUUUAUUAAAGAAUUUCGGUAAGCGAUGGGGAUGCGUUCCAUUAGAUAGUUGGCGGGGUAACGGCCCACCAAGUCUACGAUGGAUAGGGGUUCUGAGAGGAAGGUCCCCCACAUUGGAACUGAGACACGGUCCAAACUCCUACGGGAGGCAGCAGUGAGGAAUAUUGGUCAAUGGACGAGAGUCUGAACCAGCCAAAAGUAGCGUGAAGGAUGACUGCCCUAUGGGUUGUAAACUUCUUUUAUAAGGGAAUAAAGUGAGGGACGUGUCCCUUUUUGUAUGUACCUUAUGAAUAAGGAUCGGCUAACUCCGUGCCAGCCGCCGC
rnacentral:rRNA from 1 species